GAAUGAAGGCAGGCCCAGAGGGUGAGUUCGCGCAUCAGUAGUAGUUGCGUACCGAAUCACUAGCUAGACCGGUACGGUCCUUGAGAGAGGAGCCUGUAGAUGGUCUGAGACACGAUCCCAGCCCUACGGGGCGCAGCAAGCGCGAAUCCUUCGCAUGCGCGAAAGCGCGACGAGGGGACCCGAGUGCCUCUCCAUUUCGGGGAGGCUUUUCACAAGCCUAAAAAGCUUGUGGAAUAAGGGCUGGGCAGACGGGUGCCAGCCGCCGGCGGUAAUACCCGCAGCUCGAGUGGUGGUCGCUUUUAUUGAGCCUAAAACGUUCGUAGUCGGCCUUGUAAAUCCCUGGGUAAAUUGGGCCGCUUAACGGUUCAAAUUCCGGGGAGACUGCAAGGCUAGGGACCGGGCGAGGUCAGAGGUACUUUCGGGGUAGGAGUGAAAUCCUGUAAUCCCGAAGGGACCACCUGUGGCGAAAGCGUCUGACUUGAACGGCUCCGACGAUGAGGAACGAAGGCUAGGGGAGCAAACCGGAUUAGAUACCCGGGUAGUCCUAGCUGUAAACUCUGCCCGCUUGGUGUGGCCUGUCCUUCGGGGGCAGGCCGUGCCGGAGCGAAGGUGUUAAGCGGGCUGCUUGGGGAGUACGGCCGCAAGGUUGAAACUUAAAGGAAUUCGCGGGGGAGCACCGCAACGGGAGGAUGCGUGCGGUUUAAUUGGAUUCAACGCCGGAAAACUCACCUGAGGAGACCAGCGUAUGUGGGUCAAGCCGAAGACUUUACCCGAACAACAGCUGGAGAGGUGGUGCAUGGCCAUCGUCAGCUCGUACCGUAGGGCAUUCACUUAAGUGUGAUAACGAGCGAGACCCCCAUCCCUAGUUGCUAACCCCUCCGAAAGGAGGGGUGCACUCUAGGGAGACCGCUUCCGCUAAGGAAGAGGAAGGAGGGGUCGACGGUAGGUCAGUAUGCCCCGAAUCCUCAGGGCAACACGCGCGCUACAAAGGACAGGACAAUGGGUUCCAACCCCGAAAGGGGAAGGUAAUCCCGAAACCUGUUCGUAGU
rnacentral:rRNA from 1 species